rnacentral:rRNA from 1 species
UACGGGGGGGGCAAGCGUUGUUCGGAAUUACUGGGCGUAAAGGGCGCGUAGGCGGCCUACUAAGUCGGACGUGAAAUCCCUCGGCUCAACCGAGGAACUGCGUCCGAUACUGGCAGGCUGGAAUCCGGGAGAGGGAUGUGGAAUUCCAGGUGUAGCGGUGAAAUGCGUAGAUAUCUGGAGGAACACCGGUGGCGAAGGCGGCAUCCUGGACCAAUAUUGACGCUGAGGAGCGAAAGCCAGGGGAGCAAACGGG